CACUGGAUCUCAUAAUAUAAUAUAAUAUUAUAUUAUAUGGACAUUACGCGUCCCGAUGUUAUAAAUUUCAUGAUACUUGUCAGUUACAACACAACACAGCUCUAUUCAUAGUCGCAAUAAGUAUAACCAUAAAUCGUAAGUGCAGUGGUAAUUGUAUCGAUAACCGUGAGAGCUCGAGUGCUUGGUUUAAACGCUUGCAAUUCAUUCUAAUGCAAGUAAUAUAAUCGAGAGGAGGUUCAGGUUAUAAGUUACAAGUUCUAACGCUCCAAUUGACCACUAGGUGAAACUGGCGGCCAAUGCCAACAGUGCAGGGAUUGGUAGAGCCGAAAAAAAGUGAAAUCAGAUAAAUAGUUGCGGUUUUAUAAAAAAAUCGCUUUUUAAAAAGAUAAAGAAUGGAAAAAAUAAAGGACAAGCAUUUAUAUAUAAUGGAUAGAGGUGAGCCGACGGUACUUCCGGUGGACACCACCCGGAACACAAAUUCACUAGAGCGUAUAUAUCAACUGG